rnacentral:rRNA from 1 species
GACGAACGCUGGCGGCGUGCCUAAUACAUGCAAGUAGAACGCACAGUUUAUACCGUAGCUUGCUACACCAUAGACUGUGAGUUGCGAACGGGUGAGUAACGCGUAGGUAACCUGCCUGGUAGCGGGGGGUAACUAUUGGAAACGAUAGCUAAUACCGCAUAAUAUUGAUUAUUGCAUGAUAAUUGAUUGAAAGAUGCUAUUGCAUCACUACCAGAUGGACCUGCGUUGUAUUAGCUAGUAGGUGAGGUAACGGCUCACCUAGGCGACGAUACAUAGCCGACCGGGGAGGGUGAUCGGCCGCACUGGGACUGAGACACGGCCCAGACUCCUACGGGAGGCAGCAGUAGGGAAUCUUCGGCAAUGGACGAAAGUCUGACCGAGCAACGCCGCGUGAGUGAAGAAGGUUUUCGGAUCGUAAAGCUCUGUUGUAAGAGAAGAACGGGUGUGAGAGUGGAAAGUUCACACUGUGACGGUAUCUUACCAGAAAGGGACGGCUAACUACGUG